GCUAGCGAGCGGCAUGCUUAGUGAAGAAAAGCUUAAAGGCCGUCUUUGCCCAAAACGCUCUCUGUGCGCACCUGCAUUUCCCCCAGAUUUGCAGAUGGAGUCUCACUCUGUUGCCAGGCUGGAGUGCAGUGGUGCCAUCUCAGCUCACUACAACCUCCACCUCCGGGGUUCAAGCGAUUCUCCUGCCUCAGCCUUCCGAGUAGCUGGGACUACAGGUGCCUGCCACCAUUCCCAGUUAAUUUUUGUAUUUUUAGUAGAGAUGACAUUUCACUAUGUUGGCCAGGCUGGUUUUGAACUCCUGACCUCGUGAUCCACCUGCCUCAGCUUCCCAAAGUGCUGGGAUUACAGGCAUGAGCCACCACGCCUGGCCCAAAUCCUAUUUUUCAAUAUUUAUUUCCUAAUUAUGUCCUACUAGGUUAGGUUUUAUUUUCAUUUGUUACAUAUUUAUUGGGUUAUUUCCUUUAUGCUAGGAACUUUAUUAGUAUAAGGAUACAGAUAAGGUCCAUUCUCUGUUCUCAAGAAUCUGAGUCUACAGGCAGAAGACAAAAUGCAGUACAGAAUUAUGGAAAUGUGAAUGGAAACUGCAUUCAGAGAGGGGUAUUGCUUGGGAAAAGCCACAUUGGCGUGCCACAGAUGUAUGCCAGCCUGGCAGGCCCAUAGUGUGAUUACUUGAGUUUCAAUAUCUGAUUCUUUUAUAGGCUUGAAAUUGGUUUAUCAGGUCUGGAAGUGACUGGACUCUGGAGUACUGAGUUACCCACCACAAACUGCUAAUAAAAUGCUGUGUAAAAGC
rnacentral:lncRNA from 1 species